AGUUUUGUGCUCAACGUCUCAGCACUAGGGUGAAAGUGGAGCCACAAACUCCCUUCGAAGAGGUUAGGCUCCAUCUCUAAGGCUCCCGAGACACGGUUCGCAAU
ensembl:misc_RNA